rnacentral:rRNA from 1 species
CUCAAAUUUGAAAGCUGGCUCCUUUGGGGCCCGCAUUGUAAUUUGUAGAGGAUGCUUCGGGCGCGGCUCCGGUCUAAGUUCUCUGGAACGAGACGUCAUAGAGGGUGAGAAUCCCGUAUGUGACCGGCGGCCUGUGCCCAUGUGAAGCUCCUUCGACGAGUCGAGUUGUUUGGGAAUGCAGCUCAAAAUGGGUGGUGUACUCCAUCUAAAGCUAAAUAUUGGCCAGAGACCGAUAGCGCACAAGUAGAGUGAUCGAAAGAUGAAAAGCACUUUGGAAAGAGAGUUAAACAGUACGUGAAAUUGUUGAAAGGGAAGCGCUUGCAAUCAGACUUGCGCGGCGUCGAUCAGCCUGGGUUCUCCCUGGUGCACUCGGCGCCGCUCAGGCCAGCAUCAGUUUCAGCGGUGGGAUAAAGGCCUAGGGAACGUGGGUCGCCUCGGCGACCGUUAUAGCCCUAGGUGCAAUGCUGCCUGCUG